CGGGGGUCCGCCCGCAGCUGGCUAAGCGCUAGCCCGGCCUGUGGCGAGUCUGCAGAGCUCGCCCGGAAGUAGCGUUGCGCGCGCAGAGGAUGGGCGCUGAGCAGCACACAGCCCGCGGCGGGGUCUCAGGAUCCGCGGCGCUGCCCGGGGCCGGGGGAAGGAAGCCAGCCGAGGAGACGCACGUGCCCUGAGUCCGGGAGCGGGGAGCCUCUUCAUCUCUCCAUCCUCCCUCCGCGCGCGCCCUCAGCCGUCCUCGUCCGCUCACCAUGCACCUCCCCUCCAAGAAAGGGCCACAUGCGUGCCAGGGACGCGAGCCCCGGCCACAGGGACAUAGCAGCCUAGAAGGUGAGUGUGAUGCUUCGCACACUCAAGUUUGAAGAUUAACGGUCCUAGACGUCAAACCUAUUUGCAUGCCAAGUGUCGUUUUAUUUUAAAAUGUCUUCACUUUUUUUUUUUUUGGUAGAG
rnacentral:lncRNA from 10 species